CCUGAGCUGCCGGAGUUAGAGGUGUCCGCGCGGGAAAGUGGCUCGCUGGUGGGCGGGGAGCCUUAUCUCUGGCGGUGGGUUGAAAAUCCGGCGCCGGGCAGAUGCCCACGUUCGCUGGACCCCUGCUUGCCGGCGUCCGCUACAACCCAAGGAAGGUGGGCCCGACCUCGCCAGGUCGCUCGCCUGCGGGUGGGCAUUUGGUCCGGAUCCCCUUCCCUCUGCGGCCCACACCUGUCUCCGGGACUGGGGAGGGCUGCAGGGAUCGGGGCAGAUCUGCCUUUGCGGGCCGAGAGUGACAGCUGAAGUCUCCCCACCAACUAAGCUACUCGCGGGCGGAGUGGGGUCUGCGCUGGCAAGCCCCUGGGCGCGCGGGUGCCCGCUCUGGCUCGCCCCCAGGGCUGACCUACCCAAGCCACAGGAAAACUCUGGGAAGAGGGUCGCGGAUUCCAACGCGGAAGUGGUGGGGGAUUGAGUCUGAGAGGUUGGGGAGUCCUACCUUCCAUUGCCACGAGUGCUAGUUCUAUCUGCCAGUUUCUUCCUUGAAAUGUCUUGUGGCAACCAGUGACAUUGAUGGUUUCAUGAAUGGACUUCCUACCGGUAGACCCUGCAAGAGCAUGAACUCCACUGUAUCAUUCAUCCAAAUGAAGAAAGAAAGAAAAUAGUAUGUGAUAUUUUGAAAUAACCUGGCAUCUGCCACUUAAAUGGUUAAAAAUAGAACUUAAGGUUUGGAAGAGAUUGUUUCGUGA
rnacentral:lncRNA from 1 species